rnacentral:rRNA from 1 species
GACGAACGCUGGCGGCGUGCUUAACACAUGCAAGUCGAACGGAAAGGCCCUGCUUUUGUGGGGUGCUCGAGUGGCGAACGGGUGAGUAACACGUGAGUAACCUGCCCUUGACUUUGGGAUAACUUCAGGAAACUGGGGCUAAUACCGGAUAGGAGCUCCUGCUGCAUGGUGGGGGUGGGAAAGUUUCGGCGGUUGGGGAUGGACUCGCGGCUUAUCAGCUUGUUGGUGGGGUAGUGGCUUACCAAGGCUUUGACGGGUAGCCGGCCUGAGAGGGUGACCGGCCACAUUGGGACUGAGAUACGGCCCAGACUCCUACGGGAGGCAGCAGUGGGGAAUAUUGCACAAUGGGCGGAAGCCUGAUGCAGCAACGCCGCGUGCGGGAUGACGGCCUUCGGGUUGUAAACCGCUUUCGCCUGUGACGAAGCGUGAGUGACGGUAAUGGGUAAAGAAGCACCGGCUAAUUACGUG